GAGAGAAAGAAGGAGAGACUUAGAGGGAGGAAGAAAGAGAAGGAAGGCUAGAAAGAGACGACUAAUAUCAAGAGAAGGCUUGAUGUUGUAAACAUAAACAACGUGGACAAUUACGUUUAAAGGCAACCCUUUAUCCGAACUCGGCAUGCUUGGAUUAAUGAAAGUUCAGGAAGUUUCUCUUUGAAACUUUCGUCGAACGGUAGCUUGUUUGGCCAGCCAUUCACACAGACAACUUUCUCUGUCAAAACGACAUUAAUAUCGAGAGAUCUUUUUCUUUUAAUCUUCACUGGAAGCAGCCUCGACUCUUGACAGCAUGCGAGGGUAAUAUUUCAGCAGUGUAGAUAUAUAUUUAUAAGUGUAGGGCAUAGCUGGCAAGAAUGUAUGCUGCCUUUCGGUUCUGCUUUUUACUUUACUGAGUCCAGUUACAAGGCGGGAAAUAAGGUGACUGGUUUAGCUUGAGAAAAGAUAAGAAGCUGAACAAACCCAAGGAGGAAAUUGCUACUAGAUAUCGUAAAAAGGAGAAAAACUGAGCGAUUGGGAAGCAGUUGGCUCUUGUUUACAUUGGUUGUUGCUUACAGAGAGAAAAGCAAGUUGACAAUUUACUGAAACCUCUGCUCUUCAAGUUUGAACGAAAUACCG